GUGCCUCGUGGAUGGGACUUUGAUCCCAGAUUAGAUCAAGCAGACAGCGAGGCAUUGGCUGGUGUUCGGGUCAAAGGGCACAAUUCUAUCUCUUGCUAAAGGUGGCAAAGAAAGAACACAUCACUGUGGAGAAGACCUUUAAUCGUCUCUGAUAAUUCAAUAUUUGCUAAUCUUAAAAUACAAUCAUGGUUGUUCUGUUUUAGCUAGGAAGCUUAAUCCUAUUAUCUUCAAAAUGAUUGAAAUUAGAGAAUCAAUAAAAACAAGCAGCUACAUUACUUGCUGUGCUACACUGUCCCAUAACCAGUGAACCCCUACAGCAACACCUUAUACUAUCUGCAAAGCAUGGUGGAGAGAGUCUUCUGGUUUGAACUGAUAUGUUGUUUUAGUUUGUUGUCAUGUUAAACAGCUCUAAAGUAAGUAAUGUUUAAUAAAUGUUCAUAAAUGUUUUGUUGGGUUGUCUAAGUCUGUCUAAGUCAUUCUAUUAAAC